CCUACGGGUGGCAGCAGUGAGGAAUAUUGGUCAAUGGGCGGAAGCCUGAACCAGCCAAGUAGCGUGCGGGAUGAAGGCCCUAUGGGUCGUAAACCGCUUUUGUACGGGGAUAACACCCUCCACUUGUGCCCGUCUGCAUGUACCUUGCGAAUAAGGGUCGGCUAACUCCGUGCCAGCAGCCGCGGUAAUACGGAGGGUCCGAGCGUUAUCCGGAUUUAUUGGGUUUAAAGGGAGCGUAGGCGGGCGUUUAAGUCAGCUGUAAAAUCGCGCGGCUCAACCGCGCCCCGCAGUUGAAACUGGGAGGCUGGAGUUGGCGAGAGGCAGGCGGAAUUCGUGGUGUAGCGGUGAAAUGCAUAGAUAUCACGAAGAACCCCGAUUGCGAAGGCAGCCUGCCGGGGUGCGACUGACGCUGAGGCUCGAAGGUGCGGGUAUCAAACAGGAUUAGAUACCCGGGUAGUC
rnacentral:rRNA from 1 species